AGAGUUUGAUCCUGGCUCAGGAUGAACGCUAGCGGCAGGCCUAAUACAUGCAAGUCGAACGGUAAGAUCUCGCUUGCGAGAUACACGAGUGGCGCACGGGUGCGUAACGCGUAUGCAACCUACCUUCAACUGGGGAAUAGCCCCGAGAAAUCGGGAUUAAUACCCCAUAACAUUGAUUUACCGCAUGUUAGUUGGAUUAAAGCUCCGGCGGUUAAAGAUGGGCAUACGUGACAUUAGUUUGUUGGUGAGGUAACGGCUCACCAAGACUACGAUGUCUAGGGGGUCUGAGAGGAUUAUCCCCCACACUGGUACUGAGACACGGACCAGACUCCUACGGGAGGCAGCAGUAAGGAAUAUUGGUCAAUGGACGAAAGUCUGAACCAGCCAUGCCGCGUGCAGGAUGACGGCCCUACGGGUUGUAAACUGCUUUUAUACGAGAAAAAACCUCUCUACGUGUAGAGAGCUGACGGUAUCGUAAGAAUAAGCAUCGGCUAACUCCGUGCCAGCAGCCGCGGUAAUACGGAGGAUGCAAGCGUUAUCCGGAUUUAUUAGGUUUAAAGGGUGCGCAGGCGGAAAUAUAAGUCAGUGGUGAAAUCCUACAGCUCAACUGUAGAACUGCCAUUGAUACUGUUUUUCUUGAGUAUAGUUGAGGUAGGCGGAAUGUGUAGUGUAGCGGUGAAAUGCAUAGAUAUUACACAGAACACCGAUUGCGAAGGCAGCUUACUAAGCUAUUACUGACGCUGAUGCACGAAAGCGUGGGGAGCGAACAGGAUUAGAUACCCUGGUAGUCCACGCCGUAAACGAUGAUUACUUAAUGCAUGCGAUACACUGUAUGUGACUUAGCGAAAGCAUUAAGUAAUCCACCUGGGGAGUACGUUGGCAACAAUGAAACUCAAAGGAAUUGACGGGGGCCCGCACAAGCGGAGGAACAUGUGGUUUAAUUCGAUGAUACGCGAGGAACCUUACCCGGGUUUAAAUGCAGGACGAAAGACCGAGAAAUCGGUCCCCCUUCGGGCGGACUGCAAGGUGCUGCAUGGCUGUCGUCAGCUCGUGCCGUGAGGUGUCGGGUUAAGUCCCAUAACGAGCGCAACCCCUAUUGUUAGUUGCUAACAGGUCAAGCUGAGGACUCUAGCGAGACUGCCACCGUAAGGUGUGAGGAAGGUGGGGAUGACGUCAAGUCAGCACGGCCCUUACGUCCAGGGCUACACACGUGUUACAAUGGUCGGUACAGAGAGCAGCUACUUGGUGACAAGAUGCCAAUCUUCAAAGCCGGUCUUAGUUCGGAUCGAAGUCUGCAACUCGACUUCGUGAAGUUGGAUUCGCUAGUAAUAGCAUAUCAGCCAUGAUGCGGUGAAUACGUUCCCGGGCCUUGUACACACCGCCCGUCAAGCCAUGGAAGCCGAGAGUGCCUGAAGUACGUUACCGCAAGGAGCGUCCUAGGGUAAAAUUGGUAACUAGGGCUAAGUCGGAACAAGGUA
rnacentral:rRNA from 1 species